GAUAAACGCCCUGAGGCGUUGGUUUUUAUGCUGGAGCCAAAGCCUACAGCAUUGGAACAAGCGGCACCCCUGGGGUUCCUGGGAGCCAGAGCCCCCAGAGGUGGGCCGGCAGCAGGAGAACAUCUUCCAGGAGCGGAUGUCUCCAGCCAAGUGAGCCUGAGGUUCUUUGACUCUGCACAUAUAGACAAAUCUCUGUUUCUGGCUCAUCAUGGCUUCCACUUCAAGGUAAGUGCCUUUGUGAAAGCCUUUAUGAAGGGCCACACCCAGGACAUUUUUAGCUCUUGGUCCUCUGGCCUCACUAAGCAUAUGGUGUCUAGGAAAGAAAAAGGAGGAAGAGAGAGCAGAAAAGGGAGAUUGAGGAAAGAUGAGGCAAGCAGGGUAGUGUAUGUGGUAUAG
rnacentral:lncRNA from 1 species